UGGGACUGCAAGGUUUGUGAUUUCCUAUUUCCUUUGCUUCUAUUUUCCUGUUUGGUUGCUGGGUAAAUGUAAGUACGGAAGUGAAAAUAGAGGUCGAAUUCUGCUGUUUUGGAAGAAUUGAACUUGAUGAAGUUAAAUAGUUGGAUUAGGCAUAGUUGAGUAGAUGCUAUAGUUUUCUAGUUGUUACAAAAAAAACUAAUAAAUAAUCUUCAGUUCACCUUCCAAUGAGCAUUUUGUUUAUAAUAAAAACGAUGGAACGAAGAGUGAAUUUUGGAUUUUAGAUUUUAACAUGCGGAGCAUUGAAAGAAUUUACACGAAGGGGAUUUAUCAUUAUAUUUCUGUUUUUAAAAUGUUAAAAAUGCUGAUCUAAAUUCAAGAGGAUAUACUGUGAAUAUUCCUUCAAUUAAAAUUUUCACCUAAAUAAUGCUAAUUAACUUAGCAUGCUGAGUGAUUAGAGAUGCACUGUUAGUCCUUGACCAGAAAGGAACAAAAUUUAUCUCUUUCCUCUGUCUGCUGUGUGCUUCCAUGAAACAAUAUUAACAUCUGGCGCUUCAUUUCAAAUAUGAAAUAAGUGUUGCAAGUGCAAGUGAAUGUGUGAGCUUACCGUUCUGCUGUUG
rnacentral:misc_RNA from 1 species